AAAGAUUCACGCAGGAAAUUUAUACUAGUUCACUCUUGAGCAAGAGCUACAUCCAGUCCUCAACACACCAAUAUGUAUUCACUAUGAAAUCAAAAACCUUGAUUACACACAACACACUAAAGUGGUAAUCUUGAACCAUUCAAGAACACACACCACCUUUGGCAAACACACCACGGAUUUCAGAACAACCUCUGAAUCUGCACACCAAUAAUUCUCAAAAAAAUAAAGUAGUCAAGAGAGAAAGGAAUGAGUACACCAGGAUACAAUCUCAAAUCAAAGCAAAAUGGAUACAACAAAAUCCACUCUUGAAAAAUGAUCCAAAGCUCUUAGUAAUCUUGAAAUCUUGAUUUAAAAAAGUCUCUUUCUUAUCUCCAAGAUUAGGAACCAAGGUAGUUAGGAUCAUUAAAAAACAAUUUGGUAAAUCUUAACAAAAUUCUGUUAAGGUUUUCAAAAAAUCAACCAGUUGAAAACACGAAAUAACCGAUCGAAUUGGCUUGACAGCAAAGCAAACAAAGGCAAACUUUUCAAAACUGUUUUUAAAAACAACCAAGUGUAAAAGAAUCAGUUCAAUCGAAGUUUCAGCAGAUUGAUUUUUCACUUUCCUUUCAAAACGAUUAAAAUAAAACAACCUUGGAUCAUCACCUAGAGUGGAUUAAAAAAUUCAACUACUCUAGACAAUUCAACUACUCUAGACAAUUCAACUACUCAACACUCAACCAACAACAAAGAUCUCCAUGCAUUUCACUAGGAUUUGGAAGCAUCAAAGCCUUUAUUCAACACCAAUAAACAACCUGUGAUACACAAAAAUCAAACUCAGCAAAUUCAAAUUUUCUUUAUGCCUCAAAUCAUAAUUGAAACACCACAAAUUUUUUCAACAAUAGACAAUUACAAAAUAGGACAAAUUACAAAAUAGAAUAAAUUACUAAAUAAGUUUGACCAAUUCCAACCUAUCCUAUCGACAACCUACAAACGGUCACCUACAUCAAAUCACAACCUGGAACAACCACACCAACGUUCAACCAUUCUCCAACCCACAAACUACGCCACCACAAAACCACUCAACAACGCAAUGAACCCAAAAUAAAUUACCACUCAUUAACCCAAAACCGCUAAAAACAUACAGCCACUAACCCUUCCAAAAAGAAAAAAACUUGCAUAUCAACAUUAAUUAAAAUAAAAAAUCUUUACCUUUAAUUUAACAAAGAAGAAGACUUCCAAAAAUUUCACACCCAACAUCUUAUCGAAGAAUCCUUGCAAAAACAACUCCAAAACACGCAAUCCAACACACGACAAGACAAUCAUCGAACACAAACCGAGCGAAACUGGUACACAUCACACGUUCCUGGCAACACACACAAUAACAAGAAAGAACACAAGAAAAUAACAAGAGCACGAAAAAAAUAGGAGCAGAGCAAGAAAAGAGGAACAAAACAACAGAAAGUUAGGAAAACGAAAGUGAGUGGGAAUGAAAGUUUUCACUAAAAUUUUCAUUUUGUCAUUACACUUGCCACGUCAUCAAUCCUAAGCCAUAUCAGAUAUCCGUUGCCCCAUCAUGCUACAUGGGUGUUUCCCUUUUCUCAUUCCCAUUCCCUUUAUUUUCUCCUAGUUCAAUAACUUAAUAACGUUUUCCUUUUUUUUAAUUCUUUUUUGUUAGCUUGUAUCUUUUUAUUUAUGAAGAUUUGA
rnacentral:lncRNA from 1 species